AAGGACGUGCUAAUCUGCGAUAAGCGUCGGUAAGGUGAUAUGAACCGUUAUAACCGGCGAUUUCCGAAUGGGGAAACCCAGUGUGAUUCGUCACACUAUCAUUAACUGAAUCCAUAGGUUAAUGAGGCGAACCGGGGGAACUGAAACAUCUAAGUACCCCGAGGAAAAGAAAUCAACCGAGAUUCCCCCAGUAGCGGCGAGCGAACGGGGAGCAGCCCAGAGCCUGAAUCAGUGUGUGUGUUAGUGGAAGCGUCUGGAAAGGCGUGCGAUACAGGGUGACAGCCCCGUACACAAAAAUGCACAUACUGUGAGCUCGAUGAGUAGGGCGGGACACGUGGUAUCCUGUCUGAAUAUGGGGGGACCAUCCUCCAAGGCUAAAUACUCCUGACUGACCGAUAGUGAACCAGUACCGUGAGGGAAAGGCGAAAAGAACCCCGGCGAGGGGAGUGAAAAAGAACCUGAAACCGUGUACGUACAAGCAGUGGGAGCACGCUUAGGCGUGUGACUGCGUACCUUUUGUAUAAUGGGUCAGCGACUUAUAUUCUGUAGCAAGGUUAACCGAAUAGGGGAGCCGAAGGGAAACCGAGUCUUAACUGGGCGUUAAGUUGCAGGGUAUAGACCCGAAACCCGGUGAUCUAGCCAUGGGCAGGUUGAAGGUUGGGUAACACUAACUGGAGGACCGAACCGACUAAUGUUGAAAAAUUAGCGGAUGACUUGUGGCUGGGGGUGAAAGGCCAAUCAAACCGGGAGAUAGCUGGUUCUCCCCGAAAGCUAUUUAGGUAGCGCCUCGUGAAUUCAUCUCCGGGGGUAGAGCACUGUUUCGGCAAGGGGGUCAUCCCGACUUACCAACCCGAUGCAAACUGCGAAUACCGGAGAAUGUUAUCACGGGAGACACACGGCGGGUGCUAACGUCCGUCGUGAAGAGGGAAACAACCCAGACCGCCAGCUAAGGUCCCAAAGUCAUGGUUAAGUGGGAAACGAUGUGGGAAGGCCCAGACAGCCAGGAUGUUGGCUUAGAAGCAGCCAUCAUUUAAAGAAAGCGUAAUAGCUCACUGGUCGAGUCGGCCUGCGCGGAAGAUGUAACGGGGCUAAACCAUGCACCGAAGCUGCGGCAGCGACGCUUAUGCGUUGUUGGGUAGGGGAGCGUUCUGUAAGCCUGUGAAGGUGUGCUGUGAGGUAUGCUGGAGGUAUCAGAAGUGCGAAUGCUGACAUAAGUAACGAUAAAGCGGGUGAAAAGCCCGCUCGCCGGAAGACCAAGGGUUCCUGUCCAACGUUAAUCGGGGCAGGGUGAGUCGACCCCUAAGGCGAGGCCGAAAGGCGUAGUCGAUGGGAAACAGGUUAAUAUUCCUGUACUUGGUGUUACUGCGAAGGGGGGACGGAGAAGGCUAUGUUGGCCGGGCGACGGUUGUCCCGGUUUAAGCGUGUAGGCUGGUUUUCCAGGCAAAUCCGGAAAAUCAAGGCCGAG
rnacentral:rRNA from 1 species